rnacentral:misc_RNA from 1 species
GUGAGGAUCAUGGUGAAUCGCAUGAAGGGUCAGAUGUCAGAGACAAAGACACCCAAGAACAUCUUGAAUCUGGUGGUAAAACAAUGGCAUCAGCAAUGUUUUUACUCACACCUGAAAUAGAUGAGGAAGUAAAAAAUUACAUUCGCAUGACUUCGUUUUUGGAACAUGCUCCAGAGGUUUUUAGGGAUGUAUUGACAAGAGAAUUACAGAAAGCAUAUCCAGGGGACUUUGACCCAUC